CAUUCACAUCAAGGACAGAGACUGUGUGGCUCUGGAGGUGCAGUACCACAGAAGUUGCUACAGAGAGUACACAAGGUUUUUGAGUGAGCCUGUCAGAGCAGAGAAAGAACAGAUUGGGCCAACAUUUGAUCUGAGCUACAAGUUAUUCUGCGAGAGGGUAAUCCGCUAAAGGCUACUGAUCAACCAAGAGCUGCUGAGGAUGAGCCAACUGAGGGAGGCCUUUAUUGCCCUUGUGCAGUCAAGUGAAGGUGUUGAUGCUUCAACCUACAGACAGGAUAUAUUGAAGAAGAGGCUCAGUCGUGAUUUUCCUCAGCUAGUGUUCCACACCCCCGCCAAACGCAACACAUCUGAACUGGUUUUUGCUGAGAACUUGUCGACGAAUGCAGUCUUGGACUUGUUACCAUCAGGUGCGGAGACGACUCAGUCCAGCGAAAUGAGCCAGACAGACAGCGACACAGAAAGGAGGAAGUCAAAGCAACCAACCACAGCAGAGGAGACACGGACACUUUACACAGCAGCUGCAGUAAAACUUCAAUCUCACUGAUGUCAUUUUCUGUGGCAUGCGCAAAAGAUGUGUACCUGGAUGCUUUCACACAGUUCAUGAAAAUGCCGGUUCAUGUGUAUGCCACUUGUUUUGAUUUUUUUAUUUGUUGUAUAGUUAUUAGUGAAUAAAUGAAUACAUGAA